UUAACGAUUUGUAUUUGUACUUAGACGGCACAGUUACAUGGAGUUUAGAGAAGGCUACCGGCGGACACGGGCCAGAGGUGCUGGACCUCCGGCGGCCUGUGACAGGCGGGCCCGCCAAAGCAACGUGGUAGUUAGACACAGGGUUGGAGAUCGGGCCAAAGACCCUAACUCGAUAAUGAUCCUUCCGCAGGUUCACCUACGGAAA
rnacentral:misc_RNA from 1 species